rnacentral:rRNA from 1 species
GACGAACGCUGGCGGCGUGCUUAACACAUGCAAGUCGAACGGUAAGGCUCCAGCUUGCUGGGGUACACGAGUGGCGAACGGGUGAGUAACACGUGGGUGACCUGCCCUGCACUUCGGGAUAAGCCUGGGAAACUGGGUCUAAUACCGGAUAGGACCGCACCGUGAGGGUGUGGUGGAAAGUUUUUUCGGUGUGGGAUGGGCCCGCGGCCUAUCAGCUUGUUGGUGGGGUAACGGCCUACCAAGGCGGCGACGGGUAGCCGGCCUGAGAGGGUGGACGGCCACAUUGGGACUGAGACACGGCCCAGACUCCUACGGGAGGCAGCAGUGGAGAAUAUUGCACAAUGGGCGGAAGCCUGAUGCAGCGACGCCGCGUGGGGGAUGACGGCCUUCGGGUUGUAAACUCCUUUCACCAUCGACGAAGGGUUUCUGACGGUAGAUGGAGAAGAAGCACCGGCUAACUACGUGCCAGCAGCCGCGGUAAUACGUAGGGUGCGAGCGUUGUCCGGAAUUACUGGGCGUAAAGAGCUCGUAGGUGGUUUGUCGCGUCGUCUGUGAAAUUCCGGGGCUUAACUCCGGGCGUGCAGGCGAUACGGGCAUAACUUGAGUACUGUAGGGGAGACUGGAAUUCCUGGUGUAGCGGUGAAAUGCGCAGAUAUCAGGAGGAACACCGGUGGCGAAGGCGGGUCUCUGGGCAGUAACUGACGCUGAGGAGCGAAAGCAUGGGGAGCGAACAGGAUUAGAUACCCUGGUAGUCCAUGCCGUAAACGGUGGGCGCUAGGUGUGGGUUUCCUUCCACGGGAUCCGUGCCGUAGCUAACGCAUUAAGCGCCCCGCCUGGGGAGUACGGCCGCAAGGCUAAAACUCAAAGGAAUUGACGGGGGCCCGCACAAGCGGCGGAGCAUGUGGAUUAAUUCGAUGCAACGCGAAGAACCUUACCUGGGCUUGACAUAUACAGGAUCGCGCCAGAGAUGGUGUUUCCCUUGUGGCUUGUAUACAGGUGGUGCAUGGUUGUCGUCAGCUCGUGUCGUGAGAUGUUGGGUUAAGUCCCGCAACGAGCGCAACCCUCGUCUUAUGUUGCCAGCACGUUGUGGUGGGGACUCGUAAGAAACUGCCGGGGUUAACUCGGAGGAAGGUGGGGAUGACGUCAAAUCAUCAUGCCCCUUAUGUCCAGGGCUUCACACAUGCUACAAUGGUCGGUACAGUGGGUUGCCAGUCCGUGAGGGCGAGCUAAUCCCGCAAAGCCGGUCUCAGUUCGGAUCGGGGUCUGCAACUCGACCCCGUGAAGUCGGAGUCGCUAGUAAUCGCAGAUCAGCAACGCUGCGGUGAAUACGUUCCCGGGCCU